UACGAAGGGGGCAAGCGUUGUUCGGAAUUACUGGGCGUAAAGGGCGCGUAGGCGGCUUAUCAAGUCAGGCGUGAAAUUCCCGGGCUCAACCUGGGGGCUGCGCUUGAUACUGAUGAGCUUGAAUGCGGGAGAGGAUAGUGGAAUUCCCAGUGUAGAGGUGAAAUUCGUAGAUAUUGGGAAGAACACCGGUGGCGAAGGCGGCCCGCUGGGCAGGAAGACCCCGUGAGGGGUCGGCUGACGCUGAGGCGCGACAGCGUGGGGAGCAAACAGG
rnacentral:rRNA from 1 species